rnacentral:rRNA from 1 species
UACGAAGGGGGCUAGCGUUGUUCGGAUUUACUGGGCGUAAAGAGCUCGUAGGCGGUUCAGUAAGUCGGGUGUGAAAACUCUGGGCUCAACCCAGAGACGCCACCCGAUACUGCUGUGACUUGAGUACGGUAGGGGAGUGGGGAAUUCCUGGUGUAGCGGUGAAAUGCGCAGAUAUCAGGAGGGACACCAGUGGCGAAGGCGCCACUCUGGGCCGUAACUGACGCUGAGGAGCGAAAGCGUGGGCAGCAAACAGG